CACGAAGGGGGCUAGCGUUGUUCGGAAUUACUGGGCGUAAAGGGCGCGUAGGCGGUGUGUCAAGUCAGGCGUGAAAGCCCCGGGCUCAACCUGGGAACCGCGCUUGAGACUGGCACGCUAGAGUUCGGGAGAGGAUGGUGGAAUUCCCAGUGUAGAGGUGAAAUUCGUAGAUAUUGGGAAGAACACCGAUGGCGAAGGCAGCCAUCUGGACCGACACUGACGCUGAGGCGCGAAAGCGUGGGGAGCAAACAGG
rnacentral:rRNA from 1 species